rnacentral:rRNA from 1 species
UGUAUAGCGGAUUGCUAAUUGUUUCAUUCCAGAAAGAUAGAUGAAGCAAUCUCGAUUUGAUCGAAUAAAAUUCUGGGUAAAAUUAUGAUAAUGACAUUAUUUACUUAUGAGUCUUGACCAAAUUACGUGCCAGCAGUCGCGGUAAUACGUAGAAGACUAGUGUUAUUCAUCUUUAAUAGGUUUAAAGGGUACCUAGACGGCAGAUUAAGCCUUAGUUGGGACUGGUUUGCUAGAGUUACUUAUGAGGAAGUUUUAAUGUACUAGAGGUGAAGAGAUAAAAUUCUGUUAUACUUUUUUUCUAACGAAAAAUUUCGGCACAGGUAUAGGUGAAAACAUCUUCUUAUGGGAUAACUGACGUUGAGGGACGAAGGCUUUUUAUCGCGAACAGGAUUAGAUACCCUGGUAGUCAAAGCAGAAAAUGAUGAGUGUCAUAGAUUAGAUAAACGUUUAUUCUAUAAAUGAAAGUGUAAGCACUCCACCUCAAGAGUAAUUUGGCAACAUUGGAACUGAAAUCAUUAGACCGUAUCUGAAACCAGUAGUGAAGUAUGUUAUUUAAUUUGAUAAUCCGCAAAAAACCUUACCACAAACUUGAAUGUUUAUUUAGUUACUUUUGUAACUAAAAUAAACACAAGUGUUGCACGGCCUGUCUUC